GACGAACGCUGGCGGCGUGCUUAACACAUGCAAGUCGAGCGGAAAGGCCACUUCGGUGGUACUCGAGCGGCGAACGGGUGAGUAACACGUGAGUAAUCUGCCCCUGGCUUUGGGAUAGCCACCGGAAACGGUGAUUAAUACCGGAUACGACCACUUCUCGCAUGGGAUGGUGGUGGAAAGUUUUUUCGGCCAGGGAUGUGCUCGCGGCCUAUCAGCUUGAUGGUGAGGUAAUGGCUCACCAUGGCUUCGACGGGUAGCCGGCCUGAGAGGGUGACCGGUCACACUGGGACUGAGACACGGCCCAGACUCCUACGGGAGGCAGCAGUGGGGAAUAUUGGACAAUGGGCGGAAGCCUGAUCCAGCAACGCCGCGUGAGGGAUGACGGCCUUCGGGUUGUAAACCUCUUUCAGCAGGGACGAAGCGCAAGUGACGGUACCUGCAGAAGAAGCACCGGCCAACUACGUGCCAGCAGCCGCGGUAAUAC
rnacentral:rRNA from 1 species